ACGCCCGGGUAUUACGAGCUGAAGCUUAAAACCCAAGGGACUUGACGGUGUCCCACCCACCUAGAGGAGCCUGUUCUAUAAUCGACACCCCACGCUUUACCUCACCCUCUUUAGCCUAUCAGUCUGUAUACCUCCGUCGCAAGCUUACCCUAUGAACGUGGAUAGUAAGCUUAAUGGCCUUUUCACCAAUACGUCAGGUCAAGGUGCAACUAAUAAAAGGGGAAGCAAUGGGCUACAAUUUCUAAUUUAGAACACACGAAAAACUGCAUGAAACACAGUUAGAAGGCGGAUUUAGCAGUAAAAAGAAAACAGCAUGUUCUUUUUAACUAGGCACUGGGACGUGU
rnacentral:rRNA from 1 species